GACGAACGCUGGCGGCGUGCUUAACACAUGCAAGUCGAACGGAAAGGCCCUGCUUUUGUGGGGUGCUCGAGUGGCGAACGGGUGAGUAACACGUGAGUAACCUGCCCUUGACUUUGGGAUAACUUCAGGAAACUGGGGCUAAUACCGGAUAGGAGCUCCUGCUGCAUGGUGGGGGUUGGAAAGUUUCGGCGGUUGGGGAUGGACUCGCGGCUUUUCAGCUUGUUGGUGGGGUAGUGGCUUACCAAGGCUUUGACGGGUAGCCGGCCUGAGAGGGUGACCGGCCUCAGUGGGACUGAGAGACGGCCCAGACUCCUACGGGAGGCAGCAGUGGGGAAUAUUGCACAAUGGGCGGAAGCCUGAUGCAGCAACGCCGCGUGCGGGAUGACGGCCUUCGGGUUGUAAACCGCUUUCGCCUGUGACGAAGCGUGAGUGACGGUAAUGGGUAAAGAAGCACCGGCUAACUACGUG
rnacentral:rRNA from 1 species